GUGCCAGCAGCCGCGGUAAUACAGAGGUCCCAAGCGUUGUUCGGAUUCAUUGGGCGUAAAGGGUGCGUAGGCGGUUUCCUAAGUCUGGUGUGAAAUCUCGGAGCUCAACUCCGAAACUGCACUGGAUACUGGGAGACUUGAGUACUGGAGGGGAGACUGGAAUUUACGGUGUAGCAGUGAAAUGCGUAGAUAUCGUAAGGAAGACCAGUGGCGAAGGCGAGUCUCUGGACAGUUACUGACGCUGAGGCACGAAGGCUAGGGGAGCAAACGGGAUUAGAAACCCUAGUAGUCC
rnacentral:rRNA from 1 species